UAGCACUACUANNNNNNGAGGCACUGCCUGCCCAGUGACACACGUUUAACGGCCGCGGUACCCUGACCGUGCAAAGGUAGCAUAAUCACUUGUUCUUUAAAUAGGGACUCGUAUGAAUGGCACCACGAGGGUUUAACUGUCUCUUACUUUCAACCAGUGAAAUUGACCUGUCCGUGAAGAGACGGACAUGAAACAAUAAGACGAGAAGACCCUGUGGAGCUUCAAUUUAUUAGUACAACUAAAAACCAUACAAACCAACAGGCCCUAAACCCCUACAUCUGUACUAAAAAUUUUGGUUGGGGCGACCUCGGAGCACAACCAAACCUCCGAAUAAUCCACGCUAAGACCGCACAAGUUUAAGCAAACUAACACUUACAAUUGACCCAAUAGUUUGAUCAACGGAACAAGUUACCCCAGGGAUAACAGCGCAAUUCUAUUCUAGAGUCCAUAUCAACAAUAGAGUUUACGACCUCGAUGUUGGAUCAGGACAUCCUAAUGGUGCAGCAGCUAUCAAGGGUUCGUUUGUUCAACG
rnacentral:rRNA from 1 species